rnacentral:rRNA from 1 species
UACGGAGGGUGCAAGCGUUGUCCGGAAUCACUGGGCGUAAAGGGCGCGUAGGCGGCUCAUGAAGGCUGUGGUGAAAGUCCGGGGCUCAACCUCGGAUCGGCCGUGGCGACUCGUGGGCUGGAGCACUGUAGAGGCGGGUGGAAUUCCGGGUGUAGCGGUGGAAUGCGUUGAUAUCAGAAGGAACGCCGGCGGCGAAAGCGGCGCACUGGACCCUUACUGACGCUGAGGCGCGAAAGCCAGGGGAGCAAACGGG